AUGGGCACCAUCACCAAGUCCUGGAAGCAGAUCCCUGGAAGCUCAUUUGCAUCCUAUCCCCACCCCAUCCAUCUUCUAGCCAGGCAAGUCAGUCUGGGGGCUGUGUGUAUUACAUUUAAUAUUUGGGCAAUGCUGAAACUUUCUGGCUUAAAUCUCCUUGAAACUAUAAAUGCAGAUAAAAUACUUAAAAUACUAGGAAUGCAUUAUAAGAAAUUACUGUUUUAUGUCUGGUGUACCAUAUUAUUUUACAAUGGAAAAGAUUUUGUCAAUCCUUUAGAUAAUAUGCAUGAGCGUCUUGGAGCUCAUCAACAUCAAAACACUAUACACUUUUAAGAUGUGAUGUUUAUGAAUUUCUAUAUUUCAUAUUCUCCCAGAAAUGAAAUAUGUGUCAUCUAAGUGAUUUAUCACAGAAAAGCUGUCACAUUAGUAGGGCGGGUGCCAUUGCCUUUUGGUAAAGUAAAGCACCUGUCGGAGCAAUGGUCACCACUGUUUUGAAAAAGCAGACCAGAUAUGAUUUCUAAGAGUAGUCUCAGAUACCCUAAUGAAGAUAAUUGCUCUGCAGAAUUAAGCUCUUUGACUUCCUUGGAGAAAAAGUCAAUAAUCGAGGAGCUGCUU
rnacentral:lncRNA from 1 species